rnacentral:tRNA from 1 species
GUUAUUAUAGUGUAAUAAACACAUUACAUUUUCAUUGUAAAGCUAAAGGUAAUCAAUCCUUUUAAAAACAC